rnacentral:rRNA from 1 species
UAGAGUUUGUAUCCUGGCUCAGGACGAACGCUGGCGGCGUGCUUAACACAUGCAAGUCGAACGAUGAAGCCUUUCGGGGUGGAUUAGUGGCGAACGGGUGAGUAACACGUGGGCAAUCUGCCCUUCACUCUGGGACAAGCCCUGGAAACGGGGUCUAAUACCGGAUAACACUCUGUCCUGCAUGGGACGGGGUUAAAAGCUCCGGCGGUGAAGGAUGAGCCCGCGGCCUAUCAGCUUGUUGGUGGGGUAAUGGCCUACCAAGGCGACGACGGGUAGCCGGCCUGAGAGGGCGACCGGCCACACUGGGACUGAGACACGGCCCAGACUCCUACGGGAGGCAGCAGUGGGGAAUAUUGCACAAUGGGCGAAAGCCUGAUGCAGCGACGCCGCGUGAGGGAUGACGGCCUUCGGGUUGUAAACCUCUUUCAGCAGGAAGAAGCGAAAGG